CUAUAUUGCUUAUCAGAGCUUUCUCUAGUUUGCUUUCAAGAGUGAUUCUUUUCAGCAUUGACUGACAAAAGUGGGAAAAUGUUUUUUACAGAUGUUCAUAAGAUCCCCAGAUUAGAUGGGAUGUCAAAAACUCCUGCAGGGAAAAACAGAGAAUUUGUUCCAGUUAAAGAUAAUUUUGAAUUAGAGGUACUUCAGGCACAAUACAAAGAACUUAAAGAAAAGAUGAAGGCAAUGGAAGAAGAAGUCCUCAUUAAAAAUGGAGAAAUAAAAAUUUUGCGGGACUCGCUGCAUCAGACAGAAUCCAUUCUAGAGGAACAGAGAAGAUCACAUUUCCUUCUUGAGCAAGAGAAAACUCAAGCACUUGGUGACAAAGAAAAGGAAUUUUCCAAAAAGCUUCAAUCAUUGCAGUCUGAACUCCAAUUUAAAGAUGCAGAGAUGAAUGAAUUAAGGACAAAGCUUCAAAGCAGUGAACGAGCAAAUAAAUUGGCUGCUCCUUCCGUUCCCCAUAUCAGUCCUAGGAAAAGCCCUUCUGUGGCUAUAAAGCCAGAAGCAUGUUCUCUACAAUCUGGAAAACCAUCUUUCCCUACAAAGGAGUCUUUUAGUGCUAACAUGUCCCUUCCUCACCCCUUCCAGACAGAGCCAGGAUACAAGUCCCUGGUGGGCAGAGAGGGUGAGUUGGUCUGUCUCUCAUCCAUUGCUGUGUAACCAAUUAUUCAAACUUGUGGCUUAAAACAACAAUGAGUAUUUCUCCUGGUUCUGUGGGACAACAGUGCUGACAGAGCACAGUGGGGAUGGUUUGUCUCUGUGGGGACUAGAAUCACUGAAGGCUUGUCUGGGGCUGGAGGAUCUAUUUCAGAGUGGCUCAUUCACAUGACUGGCAACGGAGUUCUUCUCCACAUGUGGGCCUCUCUACUUGGGUGACCUCAUAACCUGGUGGAUGGCUUCCUCUAGAGCUAACAAACCAGCGAGAGCUAGGUGGAAGCUAGCCCUUUUAUGGCCUAGCCUCAGAAGUCCCAUAGCAUCACUUCUGCCACAUUCUGUUUGUUAGAAGCCAUGUUCAAGGGGGAAGGAAACUAGGCCUCACCUUUUGAAGAGAAAUGUGUCUAGAAUUUACAGGCAUAUUUUAAAACCUCCUCAGUCAACAUCCAUUGACAUGUCAGAAACACAGCCAGUAUACAGGAACUCGUGUUCCUUUCAGCCUUGGGUUUGUACCGCCAGGUCCAGACUGAGGGGAUGCUACUGCUUUCUAGAGGGACACAAUCUAGCAUUGGUAGAUUUUCACUCUGAGAAUACGCUGUGUCAAUUUAUCUUCUAAUUCUGAUACAUCGCCUCUCUCCUAGCACCUGGCACCUUGCAAGCCAUUGGCCAUCACGCCACCUCUGAGAACCUCAACCACGCAUAUUUUUGGCAUCUGGCAACUACAGGAACAGUAUAGGAUAGUGUUAGGAGCAGGCAUUGCAGCCCACUAGCCUGGCAGGAGUCCCAGUCACACUACUUACUGGCUUGUGUGAUGUGGGCAGGCAAGUCCCUUAACCCCUGUGCCUCUGUUUUCCUGUAUGUAAAAUAGAGCUAAUGAGGGG